rnacentral:rRNA from 1 species
GAUGAACGCUGGCGGCGUGCUUAACACAUGCAAGUCGAACGAAGCACUUUAUUUGAUUUCCUUCGGGACUGAUUAUUUUGUGACUGAGUGACGGACGGGUGAGUAACGCGUGGGUAACCUGCCUUGUACAGGGGGAUAACAGUUGGCAACGGCUGCUAAUACAGCACAAGCGCAAAGCAUCGAAUGAUGCAGUGCGAAAAACUCCGGUGGUAUAAGAUGGACCUGCGUUGGAUUAGCUAGUCGGUGAGGUAACGGCCCACCAAGGCGACGAUCCAUAGCCGAGCUGAGAGGCUGGCCCGCCACAUUGGGAGUGAGACACGGCCGGAACUCCUACGGGAGGCAGCAGUGGGGAAUAUUGCACAAUGGGCGAAAGCCUGAUGCAGCGACGCCGCGAGAGCGAAGAAGUAUUGCAGUAAGUAAAGCGCUAUCAGCAGGGCAGAUAAUGACGGUACCUAACUAAGAAGCACCGGCUAAAUACGUG